rnacentral:sRNA from 1 species
GAGGGGCUCUGCGUUCUGUAGUGGUGCCGCUUGGGCCCGUGGCGGAUUGCAAGCUGCUGGUUUUGCGGCUGGGGAGAGCGGCGAGAGGGUUCGGCAUUUUUCGUCGGGAUCCCCGCAAGGAUGAGUGCUGCCAGAGAGUCUCACCCGCAUGGGGUGAAGCGUUCAGCCUCCCCAGACGACGAUCUGGGAUCUAGCAAUUGGGAGGCAGCAGACUUGGGUAAUGAAGAGAGAAAACAAAAGUUCUUGAGACUUAUGGGUGCAGGAAAGAAAGAACAUACUGGUCGUCUUGUUAUAGGAGAUCACAAAUCAACAUCUCACUUCCGAACCGGUAAGAAAGUAAAGUGUAAUUAAAAUGGAAGUGCUAAAUUCAGAAUAUGAAGUAUGUGUUCAUGUUUCAGGAUAUUCUACUUUGGCAUGUAAUUGUGUAAAUUAUUAAAAUAUUAGAAUUAGAGCUGGGUGCAGUGGCUUAAUGCCUGUAAUCCCGGUUAUUUGGGAGGUUAAAGUGGGAGGAUCACUUAAGCCCAGGAGUUUGAGGCUGCAAUGAAGCUAUGAUUGCACCACUGCAUUCCAGCCUGGGCUACAGAGCAAGACCUCAUCUCUUAAAUUUAAAAAAAAAAGGAGAGAAAAAAAUGCUGGGCACCUUGGCUUAUGCUUGUAAUCCCAGCAUUUUGGGAGGCUGAGGUGGGCCGAUCACUUGAGGCAAAUCACCAGCCUGGUCAACAUGGCAAAACCGUGUCUCUACUAAAAAAAAAAAAAAAAAAAA